rfam:Pseudomonas sp. Chol1 Contig16, whole genome shotgun sequence.
CCUCGGCGACCCUACCGCCUGCCCGAAGACGGGCCACGGCACCAACCCCAUCGCCGCCGGCUCACCCGACGU